AGAGAGCCUGGCUGCGGGGGAAGGAGGAUGAAGAUCUUCGUUUCUCCUUGCUAAAGGAGGAGGCACAGCCUCAGGACUCUGGGAGUUUGCUGCUCAGCUAUUUCAACAUGAGACCUUGGAUCUUCCUUUCCAGGAACUGCUGCAAACUUUGCUGUUUGCUUUGGCUUUUCCCUGGCUUUCUGUCUCCUGGAGCUGUAAAGUUUGACGCGGGAUCUUCUCUACCUCCCCUGCUGCUGCAGAGCCCUCCGUGUGAGCCAAAGGAAUCUCCUCUGCUGCAAGGGCUGUGCUGGUGGCAGUGGUCACCCAGGGUCUUGCACAAGUUGCUUCCCUUCAGAGCCUCCUGCCCAGGAGGAAAAAGUGAUCUUAAUGAGCAUAUUGGCACUCAACCCACAAGCAAACUGACUCGCCCUGAGAAGGAGACUUCUGGCUGCAGAACCUAGGAAGCAGUCUCUUGAAAGUCCAAAUCCCUGAGCCCAGUUCCUGGCUUCUCACAUUUCUGUGU